CCCUUAGAUGUUCGGGGCCGCACGCGCGCUACACUGAAGGAAUCAGCACGUCUUUCUCCUUGUCCGAAAGGACUGGGUAACCCGCUGAACCUCCUUCGCGCUAGGGAUUGGGGCUUGUAAUUCUUCCCCAUGAACGAGGAAUUCCCAGUAAGCGCGAGUCAUAAGCUCGCGUUGAUUACGUCCCUGCCCUUUGUACACACCGCCCGUCGCUACUACCGAUUGGAUGGUUUAGUGAGAUCCUCGGAUUGGUCCCGGCGCGGCCUCUGGUCGUGCCGGAGUGCCGAAAAGAAUGUCGAACUUGAUCAUCUAGAGGAAGUAAAAGUCGUAACA
rnacentral:rRNA from 1 species